rnacentral:tRNA from 1 species
UCCCUGGUGGUCUAAUGGUUAAGACUCUGCAUUCCAAUGCAGAGACACAGGUUUGAUCCCUGGUCGGGGAA